rnacentral:rRNA from 1 species
GACGAACGCUGGCGGCGUGCUUAACACAUGCAAGUCGAACGGAAAGGCCCUGCUUUUGUGGGGUGCUCGAGUGGCGAACGGGUGAGUAACACGUGAGUAACCUGCCCUUGACUUUGGGAUAACUUCAGGAAACUGGGGCUAAUACCGGAUAGGAGCUCCUGCUGCAUGGUGGGGGUUGGAAAGUUUCGGCGGUUGGGGAUGGACUCGCGGCUUAUCAGCUUGUUGGUGGGGUAGUGGCUUACCAAGGCUUUGACGGGUAGCCGGCCUGAGAGGGUGACCGGACACAUUGGGACUGAGAUACGGCCCAGACUCCUACGGGGGGGAGCAGUGGGGAAUAUUGCACACUGGGCGGAAGACUGAGGCAGCAACGCCGCGUGCGGGAUAACGGCCUUCGGGUUGUAAACCGCUUUCGCCUGUGACGAAGCGUGAGUGACGGUAAUGGGUAAAGAAGCACCGGCUAACUACGUG